AUCCAGCACUUAAAAAAUGCAUCAGAAGUCUGUUCCUACAGUCAUACAUUUGGUAGAUAAUUUCAACAAUUCUCGGUCAGGUUUUUGCCCUUUUGCUGUACUCGUUGAAUCCCUCGGUGCCGGAACUUGCCACUAAACCGAAACUCUGCCACCGCCAGAGCUGAGGUUAUUAAGUGCCUGAUGCGUAACUCCCACAAUACAAUCCGUGGGGGCAUCCCGUGGUCUGCGGGGCAUAGGAAGUCUGUCAUAUUGAGUGCGCACGAACAAAGAGCAUUGGAUGAAAAUUUGUUGCCGCCGCCUAAGCAACAAAUUGCAACUCCCCAACCAGCACACACACAGAGAGAGAGAGAGAGAGACAACCACACACACCCACUCACGAUGUGGGGCUAAACUUGAACUGAC
rnacentral:lncRNA from 1 species